rnacentral:tRNA from 2 species
GGAGAGGUGCCGGAGCCUGGUCUAUCGGAGUUGCCUGCUAAGCAAUUGACCUGAGUAAUCGGGUCCCUGGGUUCGAAUCCCAGCCUCUCCG